rnacentral:lncRNA from 1 species
AAAAGGCGAUGAAGAAGGAAGUAGUUUGGAGAGGAACAUUACCAUAUCGAUAUUUUUUCUGCAUUAGAUUUCAGAUUUUAGAGUUUAUCUACUUUGACUUCAAUGCAUAAUACAUGUUUUCUAACACACAAAGAGCGUGUAUUCAAGCAUAUACAUGUGAGGAUCUUGAAAUUGAUAGCUACAAUAUACGUAUGUGCUUUUUCAUAGAAGAAGAGGUGAUGAAGAAG